rnacentral:rRNA from 1 species
UACGUAGGGGGCAAGCGUUGUCCGGAAUUAUUGGGCGUAAAGAGCGUGUAGGCGGUCCGGUAAGUCAGCUGUGAAAGUCAAGGGCUCAACCCUUGAAAGCCGGUUGAUACUGUCGGGCUAGAGUCCGGAAGAGGCGAGUGGAAUUCCCGGUGUAGCGGUGAAAUGCGCAGAUAUUGGGAGGAACACCAGCGGCGAAGGCGGCACUCUGGGCUGGUACUGACGCUGAGGAGCGAAAGCGUGGGUAGCGAACAGG